rnacentral:rRNA from 1 species
AGUGAACGCUGGCGGCGUGCCUAAUACAUGCAAGUCGAACGAAGUGGCGCACGGGUGAGUAAUAUAUAGUUAAUCUGCCCUACACAGAGGAACAACAGUUGGAAACGACUGCUAAUACCUCAUAGUGUAGGAUGAGACUAUAUCGUAUCAGCUAGUUGGUAAGGUAAUGGCUUACCAAGGCUAUGACGCGUAACUGGUCUGAGAGGGUGACCGGCAACAUGGGGACCGAGAUACGGCCCAGACUCCUACGGGAGGCAGCAGUGGGGGAUAUUGCACAAUGGGCGAAACCCUGACGCAGCAACGCCGCGUGGAGGAUGACACUUUUCGGAGCGUAAACUCCUUUUAUCAGGAAAGCGGUACCUGAUGAAUAAGCACCGGCUAACUCCGUGCCAGCAGCCGCGGUAAUAC